CACGUAGGGCGCAAGCGUUGUCCGGAAUUAUUGGGCGUAAAGAGCUCGUAGGCGGUCUGUUACGUCUGCUGUGAAAACCCUGGGCUUAACCCUGGGCUUGCAGUGGAUACGGGCAGACUAGAGGCAGGUAGGGGAGAAUGGAAUUCCCGGUGUAGCGGUGAAAUGCGCAGAUAUCGGGAGGAACACCGGUGGCGAAGGCGGUUCUCUGGGCCUUACCUGACGCUGAGGAGCGAAAGCGUGGGGAGCGAUCCGG
rnacentral:rRNA from 1 species